GAUGAACGCUGGCGGCGUGCCUAAUACAUGCAAGUCGAGCGAACAGACGAGGAGCUUGCUCCUCUGACGUUAGCGGCGGACGGGUGAGUAACACGUGGAUAACCUACCUAUAAGACUGGGAUAACUUCGGGAAACCGGAUCUAAUACCGUAUAAUAUAUUGAACCGCAUGGUUCAAUAGUGAAAGACGGUUUUGCUGUCACUUAUAGAUGGAUCCGCGCCGCAUUAGCUAGUUGGUAAGGUAACGGCUUACCACGGCGACGAUGCGUAACCGACCGGAGAGGGUGAUAGGCCACACGGGAACUGAGACACGGUCCAGACUCCUACGGGAGGCAGCAGUAGGGAAUCGUCCGCAAUGGGCGAAAGCCUGACGGAGCAACGCCGCGUGAGUGAUGAAGGUCUUCGGAUCGUAAAACUCUGUUAUUAGGGAAGAACAAAUGUGUAAGUAACUAUGCACGUCGUGACGGUACCUAAUCAGAAAGCCACGGCUAACUACGUG
rnacentral:rRNA from 1 species